rnacentral:rRNA from 1 species
ACGCACGCUGGCGGCGUGCUUAACACAUGCAAGUCGAACGAAGAGCGAUGGAAGCUUGCUUCUAUCAAUCUUAGUGGCGAACGGGUGAGUAACGCGUAAUCAACCUGCCCUUCAGAGGGGGACAACGGUUGGAAACGACUGCUAAUACCGCAUACGAUCUAAUCUCGGCAUCGAGGAUAGAUGAAAGGUGGCCUCUACAUGUAAGCUAUCACUGAAGGAGGGGAUUGCGUCUGAUUAGCUAGUUGGAGGGGUAACGGCCCACCAAGGCGAUGAUCAGUAGCCGGUCUGAGAGGAUGAACGGCCACAUUGGGACUGAGACACGGCCCAGACUCCUACGGGAGGCAGCAGUGGGGAAUCUUCCGCAAUGGACGAAAGUCUGACGGAGCAACGCCGCGUGAGCGAUGACGGCCUUCGGGUUGUAAAGCUCUGUUAAUCGGGACGAAAGGCCUUCUUGCGAAUAGUGAGAAGGAUUGACGGUACCGGAAUAGAAAGCCACGGCUAACUACGUG